UACGUAGGGUGCAAGCGUUGUCCGGAAUUAUUGGGCGUAAAGAGCUCGUAGGCGGUUUGUCGCGUCUGCUGUGAAAACUGGGGGCUCAACCCCCAGCCUGCAGUGGGUACGGGCAGACUAGAGUGCGGUAGGGGAGAUUGGAAUUCCUGGUGUAGCGGUGGAAUGCGCAGAUAUCAGGAGGAACACCGAUGGCGAAGGCAGAUCUCUGGGCCGUAACUGACGCUGAGGAGCGAAAGCAUGGGGGAGCGAACGGG
rnacentral:rRNA from 1 species